rnacentral:tRNA from 1 species
CCCUGGAUGGCUAAAUGGUUAGGCGUUCAGUCACAAACUGAAAGGUUGGUGGUUCUAAUCCACCCAGAGGCA